rnacentral:lncRNA from 1 species
AAAGAAUGUCCCCAUCAGAAGACAAAGGAAAAAAAAAACACCACAGGCUUUUCUAGCCUUUAUUAUCUCUCCUUUGCUCUGGGUCCCAUCAUCCUGAUGGCUCUCCGGCUUUUCAGACAGAUCUUUUUCAGAUGUCUUUCUUUGGUCUUUGAUUCUUGGCAGGACUGUCCUUGCACUUCUGUUGGACCAGUGGUUUUUGAAGAACUGAUUUAAGCAUCAGUAUUCGGGUCCUGCCGACCUGCUAUAGGAAAAGGUGCCCUGUUUUCCUAAAGCCAGCAGCAGCAGCCACUGAUGGAAAGUACCCUUCGCCUAAUGGGAGCCCAUCAAAAUUAAUGGGCAAACAGACCAGAGCAUACAGAGGCAUUCGGAUGCAAGACAGAGGGAGAUGGGAGCAGAGCUGGUUAAAAAUCCCUCCUCCUCCCGAGGGCUCCAGUGAGAAUCAGCAGGGGAACA